rnacentral:sRNA from 1 species
CAACAACUGAAAGGAGGUGAUCCAGUGUCUGAUCGUCUUGAUCCGCGGUCGUCGGUAUCCGUGACCUGGACGCUUACCUCUUAUGAGGUUCGUUCCGCGUGAUGAGAUACGUCGCGCUGCCCCUCUAGGCAGUUACGGACCGAACCGCGGUCUGACAUGGGAAGGGCUGUCCUCGCGGGCAGCCCU